rnacentral:piRNA from 1 species
UCAUGACAAAAUGAUUUUUAG